UAGUGAACUAUGCUUGGCGAAGACGAAGCCCCAGGAAACUGUGGUGGAAGUCUGUAGCCGUUUUGACGUGCAAAUCAAUGGUGUCAGCUGAGCAUAGGGGCGAAAGACCAAUCGAACUAUCUAGUAGCUGGUUCCAUUCGAAGUUUCUCUCAGGAUAGCUUGCGUGACAUUAACGCUAUGAGUCUGGGCUCUUCGGUACACGAAAGCGUGCUGGUAGUCCGUCCCAUUUUGUCUGCAGUUGUUGAGAGUUGGCGAGCCGAGAACUUUGUCAUCUCACUCUCUAGUCACCAGGGUAGCGUAUCAUUUGGAUCGUGAGCAGUUACGUCUGGUAAAGAGAAUGAGUAGAGUUAGCUCGUUGCUUUCUAUAGCAACAGCAGCGGGGCGUCCUACGCCUCGCACUAUUAUCAAACUUUAAAUGGGCGAGGUACUCGGUAUUUUCUUAAUUGCUUGAUACCGGGGCGAAACACGUUUCGGCUUUACCGUCGAGACGAAGGUGAAUGCGUGCGCGCAAAGUGGGUCCUUUCUGGUAAGCAGAACUGAUAAUGAGGGAUGAACCUAACGCAUGUGCUAAGGGGCCAAAGAGACAGCUAUUUCUCGAAACCAUUGGAAAGGUGUUGCUUGCUGAAGACAGCAGGACGGUGGUCAUGGAAGUCGAUAUCCGCUAAGGAGUGUGUAACUACUCAUCCUGCCGAAGCGAGUAACCCUGAAAAUGGAUGGCUCUAUAGCUCUCUCCCGAUGCACAGCCGUCAGUAGCACUUGAGUCACCUCGUGUCUCUACGCUCUG
rnacentral:rRNA from 1 species